rnacentral:lncRNA from 1 species
AUUGUUGAUAUUCUCCCUAUUAAUGACAGCUGUAAAUUUUCCCAUUUCGCCAAAUCUUUAUUUCACAAGUGGAUUAAGGUUUAGAAGAACCUGAAGAUUUUGAAUUGCUUAAAAUGAGUAGGAAAUUUACAGCUCCUGGUUCUUCAACUUCUACUUCUUCCUCUCCACCAUCUGGAGGACAACGUUCAAUACAGACAAUGUUAAAGCAAGAAAAAGAACAAGAAAAAGUGACUCUGCAGAUGAUUAUGCAAGGAAUUCAAAAUAUUCAAGCAAGAUCAGAGAACAUUGAACAAAGAUCAGAGAACAUUGAACAAAGAACAGAGAACAUUGAACAAAGAACAGGGAAAACCGAUGAAAAAGUGGAGAACAUCCAACAAAUGAUGUUGAAGUAUGAUGAGAGAUUCCAAAAAAUUGAAGAAGAAGAUAAACAAAGAGACAAGAAAAUUGGAGAUAUUGAUAAUAGAUUAACGGUGGUUGAACAAGAUAAAAGUGGUAUGUUGAGAUGGGAGAUGGAUAGAUCAGAAUUCUAUCUUAGAUUCCAAAAUGUAGAGGAAGAAAAAGGACAAAACUUAGCUGAGAUAAUGAUAGAAAUAUUGGCUGAAGCUUUGGAAAUAACUCAAGAGAAGAUGAUGGAUGGAAUAGAUGAGGUUUAUCGAGUUUUCACAAGAUAUGCAAUGAGAAAUAGCUUACCAAGAGAAGUUCACAUUAGAUUUACAAAGAAAGCCAUUAAAACGCAAAUAUUGCAAGUGGCAAAAGAGAAAACAUUGAAAUACAAAGACAAGGAGAUUGUGGUCUUGAAACAAAUACACAGAAGAGUGAGAGAGAUGAGAAGAGAAUACCGAUUCCUGACUAAAAUGCUACUUAAAAAAGAGGUGAAUUAUAGAUGGCUGAUUCCAGAAGGUUUAAUGUUCACAUGGCAAGAACAGAGACAUAGAAUUGACUCAAUUGAGAAAGCGGAAUUAUUUUAUACAGAAUUUUUUGGAGGGAAAGAGGAAAAGGCAGAAAAAGAGAUCUCACUAAUUGAAUUCCAAGAGGAC